AAGGUGGAGAUUGUCACAGAGCAGAGACCGCUUGGACCAAACUCUUCUUGGAACCAAAGCAACAAGUCUUCAAAGAAGACACUACACUCUUCAGACUUGGAUUGUCAUCUGGGGAUGUUUGGAGACUCUCAUUUCUUCAGAGUGACUUACUUAAAUCUACUCACCUGAUAUUAUAGAUGGCAUUGGAGACAAAGCUCUCGGCUUCUUGUAGAAGCAUUCUCAUCCUGGGUUUGAAAACCACUCCAGGCUCAGAAGUGGAAUCCACGUGCUGCUCCUACUAGUCCCUUCACUGAGGCUCGGGGUUUGUGCCACUAGUUUGCAUGAUUCUGAAGUGCUGUAGUCAGAACUGGAACUCAGAUACUAAACCCCAGAGUCAGAGCCUGUCUCCUCUAUUUCUUCGGCCUCCAGUAUAAAAUUUUCUACAAUGGCUGCAUGGAGAAAACAGAAAGAAAACACAAACUAAGAAGAAUGGAGGUUAGACUGGAUUAAAGUUGUUCACGGAAGAGCUGCAGCCCUUUCCAUCUCUCUUCCUUCAGUUUGAAGCCCAAUCACUGGAAAAAUACAUACAUCAACAGCUGCCCACUCACGCCCUGCCCAAAUUGCAAUUCGUGUCUUCAAACUGUCUUUGUUUACACCAGAGAAAUUCAAUUAGAGCAGGUGUGCCAUCUCCUGGGAGCUCCAAACUCUCAUCUGCCUGCUUGACAUCUCCGUUGGGUCUACAUUUAUAGUCGUCUUAGAAAAAAUGGCCCAAACAGAUCUCUCUCUCUUUUUUUAAGCUUUGUUGAUGUAUAAUUGACAA
rnacentral:lncRNA from 1 species